GCCUCAAAAUUUCAGAAAAUUCAAAUUUCCCUCUGUUAUGCAAUUAGCGCCUCUUAUACGCUGCCAUUUCGCUCUGAACAAAGACUAAAAUCAUCGAAUCUUCAACACAUCUAACUCUACCGCCCUGUGAUCUAUGGGUGCUCCGAAUUUGGAAAGCUUCCAGAUUACUGUAUGGUAUUCCACUCUACACGCUGUUCCAGAUUUCAUGGGUGCUUUGUUCGUAAGUCGAGGGAGUGGGUGGCCAUUGAAGUCGUCAUCGUACGAAGGUAGGAUGUAGGAUUUCCCUUCUCAUCCCGAUUCCAACAGAUUUUAAUUUCUCUCUAUUUUUCACUGCUGUGAUUUUCUUUUGGAGAAUUGGGUGGUGUCAUUAAAGAUUCCUCAAAAGAAUCUUUAACCCCUAACCAGACUUGUGUUUUCAAAGAAGAAGCCCGCAAAUAAAGGGGGGUGGGGGGUGGGGGAGGGAACAUAACAAAUAAAAGAAAAGGGUUUUGAUAUUUACCCGGUGAAAUUGCGACAUUUUGGACCUGGGUAUCUGAGGAGGCGGCAAGAGGAGGGUUAUUCAACUUGCAUGAAGGUUUGUGAAGAUGGGUUUUUGUCCUGAAGCCAUGGUUUUGAGGGAGAGGAGGUAAAGUUAGCUGAAAUGGCAUUUGAGUGGGUAGAGGAAGCAGAGCUGGGUAGUAUCUCUGAUGUUGGUUCUAGUUGCAGAACCCAUACUGAUUUGAGUAUUAUAGUAGCUGAUGCUGAUAGUGAUACUGAUGCUUGUGAGGAUUGGCUGUGUCCUUGAAACUUCUCGUUUUGGUGCAUUUCUUGUUAGCAUUGGACUAGCAUUUCCUGCCUCUAGAGUCCAGAAACAAUUCCCAAUGAUAGCAACGGAAUCAGCUUGGCUACAUUCUUAUGCAGUGACAGAUUACAGGAAGUUCCUAGAGUAGUGUGUUUUAGUUUAUUGAACUCAAUUUCAACAUCAAUAGCAUCAAAGUUGUGCUCAGUCUAUAACUCUUUAUAGGCCCAUUCCACUACUAAAGUUUCAGAACAAUCCACAUCAAAUAUUUGGCUGUUAUCAAAGUCAAUAAUAGUGGCGACUUGGUGACCCAGGCUUUUCGGCUGCCAUCCUGUAACGUUGCUCGUCAGCAGCAUCAUCCAAGUCCAGCAGUUUCUUGUAGUCACCAUCAGCUACAUCCUCAAAACUUGCCAUAGUUUCAAGAUCACUUGAUCCUCCAAGACUUCGGUUUCAGGUUUUUCUGUCUUUUUUUGCUCGUCAUUGACACAAAAAUGCUUCUUAUGUACCUCUUCAGGAGAUACCUUGCUCUUUUUGUGCUACCCAUCAAGCGUACCGUGUGGAAUGCAUUGCGGAUUAGGAGCCAGACAUCUUACUUCUUCCAAGGGACUGCCUAUUCGUCUGUCUAACAUACCAUGCAACAAAGAUAGAUUCUCUUCUAUCUGCACACACAAGUUCUUACCCUUGGCAUACAAAUAUUCAAUGGGCUCAGCAGAAUCAAGUAAUCACUUUCUCUUCCUACUACGUUCACAACCUUUGCCAACAUCAUCACUAUCAGCAAUUUUGACAUUAUUUUCCCACCACAGCAGAUUUUUCACAGCACCUCAAUUUAGUAACUUCGCCAGACAAGUUGGAUAUUGUUGGUUGUGCAUUCAAGUUCUCUUCGCCAGACAGCACCUCAAUUUUCUAUUGCUAUAGAAAAUUAUAUGAAUUGUGCUGAUAUUAAUGGGACCUUCAACUCCUACCUUACUAAUAUCUUAAUCAUAAUAAUCCUGCUUAUCCUUUUUGUCAUUGACAUUGUCUCAUUCUAAUUUUCUACUGUGGUCAAAUGACUCUAAUUCAUACCUCUUUUUUUUUAUCUCUACAGCACCAUCGUAUUCAUUAUCCUCAUCUUCCCCCUUGCCUCGAAAAACCAAAAACAAAAAAAAAAAAAAAACCCUUUUGAAUAUAGACAGAUUUACAUGAGCUACUUUGCAGACUUGAAGAAACAAAAGAAAGAUCCGACAAAUCUUACCAUGUCAGCUGUACCAAGAAUAUAUCCUCUAUGUCUAUAUGUAAAAGAAAAACUUCAUGUACAAUCAACAAAGGUAGGUGGGCAUGCAAGGGGUAAUAGGAACAUGAUACAUGCCUACCAUUGUAGCAUUCAACUUUGGGAAAUUCACCAUCAUGAGGUUUCAUUCAUAUCCUGGGGAUGAGCUACUGGGAAAUUUAAUAAUCCAAAACAAGCUUAAACAACCAUGGCAUUUCUGCUAAAUUGCUUUAUGUGCUGGAAUGAGUAUAAUUAUCUUCUAAAGUUUUUUGCAACUUGUUUUCAAAGCCUACUUGAUAAGGGUCUAAUGAGCCUACCUAAAGCCCCUAUAUAUGUACCCUUUGACCUGUGGUGGAAACUGUUAAGUGAAGUAUGAGAAUCUUCUAUUCUGCCUAUUUCCUUAGAGCCGCAUAGCAGCACAGAGGCACCUUUACAUAGACCCAAUCUCCAACCAGAACUGAGAUUUCAGGUGAUCAAAACCAUCCUCCUCAAAAAGAUAUAGAAAAAACCUUUCCUUCUUGUCUAUUUUAGCUAUUUUUUUCUCUUCACAAUUAGUUUAAACCACUGCUAGUCUGCUACUUUUUGCCUACCUUUUGCCACAUCUUUUGUCAACAUGACUAGUGGAAGGAGAUGAGAAGGGGCCAUUGAUGCACUUGGGAAGGAUUCUUCAAGGGACUGGCGGACAUAUACAAAGGACUGGCGAAUGUAUACAAUGCAUUCAAAAUUCCAAAUCCAUGAUGGGCGCACUUUGAGAAAUUAUUAUGUCGUGCCUUCUCACCUUCCAGCUGGUGGAGUUAUUGGAUCAAUCUUGGUGGUCCUUUGCUUGUUUUGGGUUGGUCUAGUAGAAGAAGAAGAACUACCCAUGAAAGAAAUGGUUGGAAAGCUAACGACAAACACAAUGUAAAGUAAAAUAAUUAUCCAUGAAGAAGAGCUUUCAUGUAAUGUGAUUUGUGUGUUUUUUUUUAUUAUAUGAAUAAUGAUCCAUUGUAUCAUAUUUAUUAUUAAUUUAUUUAUUAUAUAUUUUUAUUAUGGUAUAUCA